UAGGGGUUACCGUGUUUGAGUGCAUGCAGGAUAUCGCGCAAAACAGCAAGAGAGGACGGAUCUGUUGAAGCCCACAACCCUUACUCAUCUCUGCCUCACGGAUUAGGUUGUUCUACAGUGUGGAUCAAUCGUGCCACUGUUCUCCAGCUCUUGACUUCUUUUUAUUCCUCCAAAAUCUGCACCCACUUCUUGCUCACCCUUUUCCAGCAGCAUGCAUCUCGAAUCUACCCUCUCCAUCAUAAAUAAAUUAAAGCAUUCAUUUUUUUUUUUUUUUUUUGAGUGGAGAUGGAGAGAGGUAUCGGGACGAAUGUUUUGCAGCCGCUGGGGGUCUAUCCUCUGUUUCUCACGGGGUGCCAUUGUUCCAUGCGCCUUCGACUGUUCCUUUCUUUAAGGAUUGAUCUUGUCGACUGUUCUCAAUCUGCUUGCUCUUCUCUCUGAGUGUCAGGCGUCAACGAGUAAGGGGCUGUGUCAAUCCUAUCCUCUCCGGCCCUUUUGCACAUAUCUGCACAUAUGACAUUGAAAAACAG
rnacentral:lncRNA from 1 species